rnacentral:rRNA from 1 species
UACGAAGGGGGCUAGCGUUGCUCGGAAUCACUGGGCGUAAAGCGCACGUAGGCGGCUUUCUAAGUCAGGGGUGAAAUCCUGGAGCUCAACUCCAGAACUGCCUUUGAUACUGGAGAGCUUGAGUCCGGAAGAGGUGAGUGGAACUCCGAGUGUAGAGGUGAAAUUCGUAGAUAUUCGCAAGAACACCAGUGGCGAAGGCGGCUCACUGGCCCGGUACUGACGCUGAGGUGCGAAAGCGUGGGGAGCAAACAGG